rnacentral:rRNA from 1 species
UACGGAGGAUCCGAGCGUUAUCCGGAAUCAUUGGGUUUAAAGGGUCCGUAGGCGGGUUUAUAAGUCAGUGGUGAAAGUUUGCGGCUUAACCGUAAAAUUGCCAUUGAUACUGUAGAUCUUGAAUUAGUGUGAAGUGGUUAGAAUGUGUAGUGUAGCGGUGAAAUGCAUAGAUAUUACACAGAAUACCAAUUGCGAAGGCAGAUCACUAACACUAUAUUGACGCUGAGGGACGAAAGCGUGGGGAGCGAACAGG